ACUUAAAUUGAAGAGUUUGAUCAUGGCUCAGAUUGAACGCUGGCGGCAGGCCUAACACAUGCAAGUCGAACGGUAGCACAGAGAGCUUGCUCUCGGGUGACGAGUGGCGGACGGGUGAGUAAUGUCUGGGAAACUGCCCGAUGGAGGGGGAUAACUACUGGAAACGGUAGCUAAUACCGCAUAACGUCGCAAGACCAAAGUGGGGGACCUUCGGGCCUCACACCAUCGGAUGUGCCCAGAUGGGAUUAGCUAGUAGGUGGGGUAACGGCUCACCUAGGCGACGAUCCCUAGCUGGUCUGAGAGGAUGACCAGCCACACUGGAACUGAGACACGGUCCAGACUCCUACGGGAGGCAGCAGUGGGGAAUAUUGCACAAUGGGCGCAAGCCUGAUGCAGCCAUGCCGCGUGUAUGAAGAAGGCCUUCGGGUUGUAAAGUACUUUCAGCGAGGAGGAAGGUGUUGUGGUUAAUAACCGCAGCAAUUGACGUUACUCGCAGAAGAAGCACCGGCUAACUCCGUGCCAGCAGCCGCGGUAAUACGGAGGGUGCAAGCGUUAAUCGGAAUUACUGGGCGUAAAGCGCACGCAGGCGGUUUGUUAAGUCAGAUGUGAAAUCCCGGGCUCAACCUGGGAACUGCAUUUGAAACUGGCAAGCUUGAGUCUCGUAGAGGGGGUAGAAUUCCAGGUGUAGCGGUGAAAUGCGUAGAGAUCUGGAGGAAUACCGGUGGCGAAGGCGGCCCCUGGACGAAGACUGACGCUCAGGUGCGAAAGCGUGGGAGCAAACAGGAUUAGAUACCCUGGUAGUCCACGCCGUAAACGAUGUCUAUUUGGAGGUUGUGCCCUUGAGGCGUGGCUUCCGGAGCUAACGCGUUAAAUAGACCGCCUGGGGAGUACGGCCGCAAGGUUAAAACUCAAAUGAAUUGACGGGGGCCCGCACAAGCGGUGGAGCAUGUGGUUUAAUUCGAUGCAACGCGAAGAACCUUACCUACUCUUGACAUCCAGAGAACUUAGCAGAGAUGCUUUGGUGCCUUCGGGAACUCUGAGACAGGUGCUGCAUGGCUGUCGUCAGCUCGUGUUGUGAAAUGUUGGGUUAAGUCCCGCAACGAGCGCAACCCUUAUCCUUUGUUGCCAGCGGUUCGGCCGGGAACUCAAAGGAGACUGCCAGUGAUAAACUGGAGGAAGGUGGGAUGACGUCAAGUCAUCAUGGCCCUUACGAGUAGGGCUACACACGUGCUACAAUGGCAUAUACAAAGAGAAGCGACCUCGCGAGAGCAAGCGGACCUCAUAAAGUAUGUCGUAGUCCGGAUUGGAGUCUGCAACUCGACUCCAUGAAGUCGGAAUCGCUAGUAAUCGUAGAUCAGAAUGCUACGGUGAAUACGUUCCCGGGCCUUGUACACACCGCCCGUCACACCAUGGGAGUGGGUUGCAAAAGAAGUAGGUAGCUUAACCUUCGGGAGGGCGCUUACCACUUUGUGAUUCAUGACUGGGGUGAAGUCGUAACAAGGUAACCGUAGGGGAACCUGCGGUUGGAUCACCUCCUUACCUUAAAGAA
rnacentral:rRNA from 1 species